CUCUCUUCUCUCAGUCUCGCUCUGACGCUCUCUGCACUGGAGUCUCGAGGCCGGCGGUGAACCCACCUUCUUGCAGCACCUCUAAGCGUCGGCAAAGUCCUUCCUCCCACAACCUUGCAGUGCCGCCGAAGCAUUCCUCCCAGCGCUGCCAAACCUUUUCUCCCAGGACCUCCUCACCAACAGCACCACCCAACGCCAGCCAGCACCACCAUCUUUGUUUUAAUGAUUAAUUGGUGUUGGGUAUUGCAGCAAUUGCAGGCAUAGAGAGGUUUGUAUAUAAAGGGGUGGCAUCAAAUUUGGUUACAUACCUAGCUGAUGUAGUGAAGCUAAGGAACUUAUCUGCUGCAAAAAUGGUUAAUACUUAAUAGUUGGUGUGGCUUCACUUCCAUAAUGCCCUUGUUGGUGGCACCCAUUGCUGAUGCUUAUUGGCACAAAUAUUCCACAAUUAUGGCCUCUUCUUUCUUCUAUCUUAUGAAAGACUCUGCAGUCAGCAUCGUCCUCCCUUCACUCACCAUCGUCGAUAAGCGCAGGUGAACUCUCGUACCCAACAUUCCGUUCACGCACGGUAAUGUGAGCUUAGCUAAUCAAGAUUUUGCCCACUACCAACCUUGCCGCGAGUCUCGAAAAAUUUGUUAAGUGGUAGGUUGGCUAUUAUGGUGUUCAAUUAGUCACCGAAAUUUUUCUUUUUUCGUAUAAUUUGAUUAUACUUGAUGUUACCAUGAGCAAUUUAUUUAUGGUGAAUUCUAUGGUGUAGAAAGAAAAAAAUUUUUACACCUAUAGAAUACUUGUGACAUAGCAUAAGAAGGAUAUGUGGACAUUUGUAACUGAUUGAUGGUUCAGCAAUAACAGAAAAAGCUGACAUUAUAACUUACCGCAGUGAUUAGUAGCAUACUCCCAUAAA